CUUUCAUGAUUGCUCCAUCCCGAGAGUGGAAAGGUAAAGUGUAGUGGACUGUUGAGCCCUCACUUUUGUGACUGAUUCUAAAGCAAGCAAAUCUGACUUGAGGAUGGAUCUUGAAUUCUGCAGCAUGAGAGGGUUAGAUCAGAGGCCAGGUGAGUGAGUUUAGGCCUGACCCAGGGAACAGGAGAUCCCAGAAAGGCCAAGUGACUGCUAUAGGAUUUAGUUUCUGCACCUGUAAAAUGAAGAAUGUCUUGGGUUUCUUUUUUGAAAGUAAAAGGCUAUGUGAUUUUAGGGGAUGAUUCAUUGUUCUGCAGAGCCAUCAGGCUUUUCAAGCAGUAACUCAAGAGAGCUGCUUACUCCAAAAAACUGCUCAAAAGACUGUAGUUCUGUCAUCUCACUUAAGCCUUGGGAAGGCUUUGGAUGACUAACACCAACAGAACCUUGAAUUUCUACAAGCGAUUUUCAAAGUUUUAAAAGAAUGUUUAUUUCAAAAGUUUCACAUGGGGUAAGAAGUACAGAUUAUUAUCCUAAUUUUACAGAUGGGAAAACUGGUAACAGAAGAAUAACUGUGUAUUUGGAUUUACAUAGGUAGACUUUGUGAGAGUAGAUGUUUUAAAAAAAUGACUCAAAUUAGUACCUUUUAACUGUUCAGAAAAACAAAACCUCAAUUUUCUGGUUUUCCUGCCCAUUUUCUCUGCUUCUUCACUUGGGGCAGAGAAAAAGCAAGUUGCAGAAUAUGCACUACAUGCUGCUAUUUGUUUGAAAUUUUAAAAGACAAUAUAAUACUGCAUACAGAUAAAGGAUACAUACACAUCUAGUAAGAGUAUAAACAUGCAUGAGAAUAAUAAACACCAAAUUCAGGGUAAUAGUUGCCUCUGGAAGGGGAGGUAUGGAGGGGUCACAGAGGACUUCAGCUUUAUUGGUAAAAUUUCAUAAGUUGGGUAGCAAGGACACAAAUGUAUGUUAUUCAUUGUACCUUUUUGUAUAUUUUAAAUAUUUCAUAAUCAAAUUUUUUCCUGAGAAUGAAAACUCUUUUGUGACUUUCCCAAUGUUAGUGGAAACAAAUAAGAUCUGAAGCUGAUUCCCUUUAGAAACUCUCAACACUUCUUAGCUAUGUUCACCAAAUGCGUGAGCAUUGAUAAAUUAGACUUUAUCAAAAAAAAAAACUUGUGCCUCAAAGGACACCAUCAAGAAAGUAAAAAGACAGCCCACAGAAUGGGAGAAAAUAUUUGGAAAUAUUGAAUCUGAUAAGAGACUUGUAUCUGGAAUAUAUAAAAAACUUGCAACUCAAUUCUAAAAAAAAAAAAAAAAAAAAAUCCAAUUAAAAAAUCAGCGAAGGAUCUGAAUAGACUCUUCUCCAAGGAAAAUAUACAGUUGGUCAAUGAGCACAUGAAAAUAUGCUUAACAUUUCCAUCAGAGAGAUGCCAGUCUAAACCACAAUGAGAUACGACUUCAUACCCACUAGGAUAACUAGAAUAAGAAAGAUAGGUAUUGGUGAGGAAGUGGAGAAAUCAGAACUGUCAUACAUUGCUGGUGGGAAUAUAAAAUGGUCAGCCACUUUGAGUUUGGCUGUUCCUCAAAUGGUUAAACCUAAGAGUUACAAUGAAUGUUGAUAGCAGCAUUAUUCAUAAUCGCCAAAAGGAGAAAGAACCCAAAUGUCCAUCAGCCAAUGAGUGGAUAAACAAAAUAUGGUGUAGCCGUGUAAGUGAAUGUUACUCGGCUGUAAGUAGCAAUGAAAUGCCAAUACAUUCUACAACAUUGAUAAUCCUUGAAAUCACGAUGUUAAAGGAACCAGUUACCAAAGACCACAUAUUAUUCCAUUUACAGAAAAUAUCCAGAAUAGAUAAGUCUAUAGAAGUAAAGUAGAUUAGUGGUUGCCAGAGGCUGAAGGAGGUAGAAAUAGGGAGUGACUGCUCAUAGGUAAGGGGAUUCUUUUUGGGGUCUUGAAAAUAGUCUAAAAGUAGAGUGGUGAUGGUUGCAUCUCUGAACAUUUCAGUAGCCCACCCUUAUCCAUGGUUUUGCUUUCUGUGGUUUCAGUAACCUGCCAAUUGCAGUCUGAAAAUAUUAAAUGGAAAAUUUCAGAAAUAAUUCAUAAGUUUUAAGUUUCACACUGUUCUGAGUAGCAUGAUGAAAUCUCACACCGUUCCUCUCUGUCCCACCUGGGUCAUGAAUUAUCCGUUUGUCCAGCGCAUCCAUACUGUAUAUGCUGUCUGCUCAUUUAGAUACUUACUAGCUGUCUUGUUUAUAAGAUUGAUGAAAAGAAGAGUGAGUAUAGUACGGUAAGAUUUGAGAGAGACAACAUUCAUAUAACAUUACUGUAUAUUGUUAAAAUUCUAUUUUGUUAAUCUCUUACUGUGCCUCAUUUAUAAAUUAAACUUUAGGUAUAUAUGCAUAGGAAAAAACACUAUAUAUAGGGUUCAGUACUAUUCAUGGUUUCAGGCAUCCACUAGGGGUCUUGGAAUCUAUCCCCGGCAGAUAAGGGGACUGUUGUACUAACCAGCAUUGAAUUGUGCACUAUAAACGGGUGAAUUUUAUGGUAUGUGAAUUAUAUCUCAAUAAAGCUGUUACAUGAAAAUACACAUAACCUUUGGAAUUGAGGGUAUAGUGCCUUAAGCUGUUAAUACCAUGUUGUGAAU
rnacentral:lncRNA from 1 species